rnacentral:rRNA from 1 species
GACGAACGCUGGCGGCGUGCUUAACACAUGCAAGUCGAACGGAAAGGCCCUGCUUUUGUGGGGUGCUCGAGUGGCGAACGGGUGAGUAACACGUGAGUAACCUGCCCUUGACUUUGGGAUAACUUCAGGAAACUGGGGCUAAUACCGGAUAGGAGCUCCUGCUGCAUGGUGGGGGUUGGAACGUUUCGGCGGUUGGGGAUGGACUCGCGGCUUAUCAGCUUGUUGGUGGGGUAGUGGCUUACCAAGGCUUUGACGGGUAGCCGGCCUGAGAGGGUGACCGGCUACAGUGGGCCUGGGGUGCGGCCCAGGCGCCUACGGGGGGCAGGAGUGGAGAAUAGUGCACAAUGGGCGGAGGCGUGAUGCAGCAACGCCGCGUGCGGGAUGACGGCCUUCGGGUUGUAAACCGCUUUCGCCUGUGACGAAGCGUGAGUGACGGUAAUGGGUAAAGAAGCACCGGCUAACUACGU